CCUACGGGAGGCUGCAGUGGGGGAUAUUGCACAAUGGGGGGAACCCUGAUGCAGCGACGCCGCGUGGGUGAAGAAGCGCCUCGGCGCGUAAAGCCCUGUCAGCAGGGAAGAAAAUGACGGUACCUGAAGAAGAAGCCCCGGCUAACUACGUGUCAGCAGCCGCGGUAAUACGUAGGGGGCAAGCGUUAUCCGGAUUUACUGGGUGGAAAGGGGGCGCAGACGGCGAUGCAAGCCAGGGGUGAAAGCCCGGGGCCCAACCCCGGGACUGCGCUUGGAACUGCGUGGCUGGAGUGCAGGAGGGGCAGGCGGAAUUCCUGGUGUAGCGGUGAAAUGCGUAGAUAUCAGGAGGAACACCGGUGGCGAAGGCGGCCUGCUGGACUGCAACUGACGUUGAGGCCCGAAAGCGUGGGGAGCAAACAGGAUUAGAUACCCCAGUAGUC
rnacentral:rRNA from 1 species